rnacentral:sRNA from 1 species
UGAGAAUAGCAGGCCUUUUGAGGCCCAUACUCAUUUUAAUUGUUGACCAGAAAAAAAAAGGGAAUUCGCUCAUCUUCAUUCUUCACCAAAACUUUCACUGAAUGUGAAACUCAGACUCAGGAAGGAGAAAAUCUGCUCCGUAGUUAGGGUUCGCAAGUUUCGAUUGGCACUGCAACAAAUUUGUGGACAAAGAAAAAGAUUCAGUUGAGUUCCGAGGGUUUUCUGUAGCAAUUUGGUAUCAGAUUGAUCGAUGGCACGAGCACGCAAUCUAAUGGUUGCUGCGGGUUUGGUUGCUUUCGCUGCAGCAGGCAUGUCAUUUCCCUUCUACAUGGCUUCAUCAAGGAAGCCUGUUAUUGAUCCAACAAAGCCACUUCCACCACAAGCAACUUUUCGAGGGCCUUACAUCAACACAGGCUCGCGUGAUGUUGGUCCUGAUGUUGAGAAGAAAUGAAACAAGUUGAGUUAGAUGAUCAAGCUCAUAUUCAUAUAUAUGCUCGUUGUUUGAGAGAUUUUUUCUCACCUCAGUUUGGUGAAUUGUGAUUCUUAAGCACAAUCUUGGAACUGAGAAAGUUUGAGGAUGGGAGUUCUUUUCUGGAAGAGGUCACUCAAUCUGUAUGUAUUAGAUGAAUGAUGUUAUUUGUCAUGUCACUUGUAUCUGUAUCUUCUGUUUCCAAAAAAACAUGUAGUGUUGCAUGCCUUUGUGACCACAAUAACAACAACAUUUUUGUCUCGCUGGUUUAGGUUGGUUAUAUGGAUUACAAGAUACCAUUUAGUUCAGUUAAAGACCAAACGAAAUUCGUCUUAAUCACUUGUUCUAAUGUCUUUGCUGGUCUUCGUUUUUGAUAGGACUGAAAAAACAUGCAAUUUACUAUCCUCAGUAAUAUGUUUUCUUCAUCUUGUGACCAUACAAUUGUAAAAACUUUAAGCUCUAGCAAUUUGCACUUUUGGCUAAGCUUAGCUUG